rnacentral:rRNA from 1 species
GAUGAACGCUGGCGGCGUGCCUAAUACAUGCCAGUAGAACGCUGAAGGAAGGAGUUUGCUCUUUCCGGUUGAGUUGCGAACGGGUGAGUAACGCGUAGGUAACCUGCCUGGUAGCGGGGGAUAACUAUUGGAAACGAUAGCUAAUACCGCAUAACAGUAGAUGUUGCAUGAUAUCUACUUAAAAGGUGCAAUUGCACCACUACCAGAUGGACCUCCGUUGUAUUAGCUAGUUGGUGAGGUAACGGCUCACCAAGGCGACGAUACAUAGCCGACCUGAGAGGGUGAACGGCCACACUGGGACUGGGACACGGCCCAGACUCCUACGGGAGGCAGCAGUAGGGAAUCUUCGGCAAUGGACGGAAGUCUGACCGAGCAACGCCGCGUGAGUGAAGAAGGUUUUCGGAUCGUAAAGCUCUGUUGUAAGAGAAGAACGAGUGUGAGAGUGGAAAGUUCACACUGUGACGUUAUCUUAACAGAAAGGGACGGCUAACUACGUG